rnacentral:rRNA from 1 species
UACGUAGGGCGCAAGCGUUAUCCGGAAUUAUUGGGCGUAAAGAGCUCGUAGGCGGUUUGUCGCGUCUGCUGUGAAAGACCGGGGCUCAACUCCGGUUCUGCAGUGGGUACGGGCAGACUAGAGUGCAGUAGGGGAGACUGGAAUUCCUGGUGUAGCGGUGAAAUGCGCAGAUAUCAGGAGGAACACCGAUGGCGAAGGCAGGUCUCUGGGCUGUAACUGAUGCUGAGGAGCGAAAGCAUGGGGAGCGAACAGG